AUCUUUUUAAAGUGUAGGGUUCUUUUAGUAUUCUGUAUUUUUUCUUAAAUCCCUGCAAAGGUGCUGCCUUUGGCCGAUGGGCUGCUAAAAGCCCUCACCUCCAGCCAGAAGAGCAGGUUUGAAAGAUUUGCUGAGAGCUGUGGAAUCAGAUAUGCCCAGAGAACCUGGGACUGGAUUUUCACCAUUAAAGCCAGUUUUCAGAUGUGACCAGUCUGAAUCCAGCAUGAAAAUUACUUCUGAGUUUCGAAGUCCUAAUGAAAGCUGGAAACCUGCCUAAAAGGGCUGCUGUGUGGGGUGCUCCCUGGCUGCCCUUUCCCAGCCACCAGCAGAAUUUCCAGCGUGGAGGGGGAUCUAUAAAACAUGACUCGUAAAGAGAAAGAGCUGGCAUUUGACUCCUGAAGGGAAAGAGAUGGUGGAGAGCUGCGAAGAAGAUGGAUGCCCCCCUCCCCGAAAUAUAAAGAAAUAUGUGCAGAAAAUGGAAGAGAUUUAAAGCAGCUAUCAAUCGGUCGCUGUUCCAGCUUUAAGAGCUGUUGAAACAACAUAAUAAAAGGCAAUAAACAAGAGAUUUACAACCUA